AUUGAACGCUGGCGGCAUGCUUUACACAUGCCAGUCGAACGGUAACAGGCCGCAGGGUGCUGACGAGUGGCGAACGGGUGAGUAAUGCAUCGGAACGUGCCCAGUCGUGGGGGAUAACUACUCGAAAGAGUAGCUAAUACCGCAUACGAUCUAUGGAUGAAAGCGGGGGACCGUAAGGCCUCGCGCGAUUGGAGCGGCCGAUGUCAGAUUAGGUAGUUGGUGGGGUAAAGGCUCACCAAGCCAACGAUCUGUAGCUGGUCUGAGAGGACGACCAGCCACACUGGGACUGAGACACGGCCCAGACUCCUACGGGAGGCAGCAGUGGGGAAUUUUGGACAAUGGGCGCAAGCCUGAUCCAGCAAUGCCGCGUGCAGGAAGAAGGCCUUCGGGUUGUAAACUGCUUUUGUACGGAACGAAACGGCUCUGGUUAAUACCCGGGGCUAAUGACGGUACCGUAAAAAUAAGCACCGGCUAACUACGUG
rnacentral:rRNA from 1 species